rnacentral:rRNA from 2 species
UGGGGAAUAUUGCACAAUGGAGGGAACUCUGAUGCAGCGACGCCGCGUGAACGAAGAAGGCUUUCGAGUCGUAAAGUUCUUUUAUAUGGGAAGAUAAUGACGGUACCAUAGGAGGAAGCCCCGGCUAACUACGUGCCAGCAGCCGCGGUAAUACGUAGGGGGCGAGCGUUGUCCGGAAUUACUGGGCGUAAAGGGUUCGCAGGCGGCAUGGCAAGUCCGAUGUAAAAGGCGAAGGCUCAACCUUCGUAAGCAUCGGAAACUGUCAAGCUUGAGUGAAGGAGAGGCAAGUGGAAUUCCUAGUGUAGCGGUGGAAUGCGUAGAUAUUAGGAGGAAUACCGGUGGCGAAGGCGACUUGCUGGACUUCAACUGACGCUGAGGAACGAAAGCGUGGGUAGCAAACAGG